rnacentral:rRNA from 1 species
UACAGAGGGUGCAAGCGUUAAUCGGAAUUACUGGGCGUAAAGCGCGCGUAGGCGGCUGCCUAAGUCGGGCGUGAAAGCCCCGGGCUCAACCUGGGAACUGCACUCGAUACUGGGCGGCUAGAGUAUGAGAGAGGGAGGUAGAAUUCCACGUGUAGCGGUGAAAUGCGUAGAUAUGUGGAGGAAUACCGGUGGCGAAGGCGGCCUCCUGGUUCAAUUCUGACGCUGAGGUGCGAAAGCGUGGGGAGCAAAUGGG